rnacentral:rRNA from 1 species
UGGGGAAUAUUGGACAAUGGGGGAAACCCUGAUCCAGCGACGCCGCGUGAGUGAAGAGGUAUUUCGGUAUGUAAAGCUCUAUCAGCAGGGAAGAAAAUGACGGUACCUGACUAAGAAGCCCCGGCUAACUACGUGCCAGCAGCCGCGGUAAUACGUAGGGGGCAAGCGUUAUCCGGAUUUACUGGGUGUAAAGGGAGCGCAGACGGCGAAGCAAGUCUGAAGUGAAAUGCAUGGGCUCAACCCAUGAAUUGCUUUGGAAACUGUUUGGCUUGAGUGUCGGAGGGGUAAGCGGAAUUCCUAGUGUAGCGGUGAAAUGCGUAGAUAUUAGGAGGAACACCGGAGGCGAAGGCGGCUUACUGGACGACAACUGACGUUGAGGCUCGAAGGCGUGGGGAGCAAACAGGAUUAGAUACCCUGGUAGUCCACGCAGUAAACGAUGAAUACUUGGUGUCGGGGAGGUAAACUCUUCGGUGCCGCAAGCAAACGCAUUAAGUAUUCCACCUGGGGAGUACGUUCGCAAGAAUG